rnacentral:rRNA from 1 species
CGCGUAGGCGGUCAGUGCAAGUCAGUUGUGAAAUCUCCGGGCUUAACUCGGAAAGGUCAACUGAUACUGCUCGACUAGAGUGCGGAAGGGGCAACUGGAAUUCUUGGUGUAGCGGUGAAAUGCGUAGAUAUCAAGAGGAACACCUGCGGCGAAGGCGGGUUGCUGGGCCGACACUGACGCUGAUGCGCGAAAGCCAGGGGAGCGAACG